CAUGUCUUUAAAAAAAUUCUCUUUUUAAUGUGUCGUUUGACUGCAUUCGGCUUCAGCCAAGCGCUUGCACUCGGUGACACGGAAUGUUGUUUACAUCUAAAAACGUGGCGACAUCAGCUGAGAUUUGCAGUGGAUUUAAACGCAAUAACCAUGAUAACCACAGAAUCUUUAAAGAAAAUAGGGAUAAAAUAAGACACAAGGCAUUGCUUUUCCCUUUUACGAGAAUAUGAGGACAUUAUUAGCAGAAAACUGAGACGAUUUGCACCAGCUCCGAAGAUCCAUCACCUGAUCACUGCACUGUUAUUCCAGGCAAGGCAUAGCUAUUCCCAAAUGUUGGACUAAUGGAUUCAUUCAGGCAGCAAGUUAAUCCAUCAUUUAAGGAAAAUGAAUGCAUUUUAUCCACAAGAACAUGAAGUGAAGGAAAUAAUUUGCACUUAUCCAGCAUUCCUAGUCUGUCAUUGGAUUUGAAAAGAAAUGUUAACUUUAUUAAAUAAAUUUUCUAGAAAUAAUAAUUUGACUUUUUCAUAUAUUUACUGUACAGGUGUUGAAAAGACUAUUAAGAUUUUAAAAAGCUUAACUUGCAUACUAUUUUGUGUGGAGGGUACUUAUUUUCAGCAUGUGCAUUGUGUUCAAUAAAAAAAGGAGACAAGAGAUCCCCCUAAUUGAUCAAAAAUAGGAUAGGGGAC